GACGUAGGGGGCAAGCGUUGUUCGGAAUUACUGGGCGUAAAGAGCUCGUAGGCGGCCUGUUGCGUCCGCUGUGAAAGCCCGGGGCUUAACCCCGGGUCGGCAGUGGAUACGGGCAGGCUAGAGGUAGGUAGGGGAGAAUGGAAUUCCCGGUGUAGCGGUGAAAUGCGCAGAUAUCGGGAGGAACACCGGUGGCGAAGGCGGUUCUCUGGGCCUUACCUGACGCUGAGGAGCGAAAGCGUGGGGAGCGAACAGG
rnacentral:rRNA from 1 species